AGAGCAUGACUGGGUAUAAAGCGCGCGUAGGCGGCACUGUUAGUCAGGCGUGAAAGUCCUGGGCUCAACCUGGGAACUGCGCUUGAUACGGCAGAGCUAGAGGAUGGAAGAGGCUCGCGGAAUUCCCAGUGUAGAGGUGAAAUUCGUAGAUAUUGGGAAGAACACCGGUGGCGAAGGCGGCGAGCUGGUCCAUUACUGACGCUGAGGCGCGACAGCGUGGGGAGCAAACAGGAUUAGAUACCCUGGUAGUCCACGCCGUAAACGAUGUGCGCUGGAUGUUGGGUGGCCUAGCCACUCAGUGUCGUAGCUAACGCGGUAAGCGCACCGCCUGGGGAGUACGGCCGCAAGGUUGAAACUCAAAAAAUUGACGG
rnacentral:rRNA from 1 species